rnacentral:rRNA from 1 species
GGGGAAUAUUGGACAAUGGGCGAAAGCCUGAUCCAGCCAUGCCGCGUGUGUGAAGAAGGUCUUCGGAUUGUAAAGCACUUUAAGUUGGGAGGAAGGGUUUCUGGCUAAUAUCCAGGAAUUUUGACGUUACCGACAGAAUAAGCACCGGCUAACUUCGUGCCAGCAGCCGCGGUAAUACGAAGGGUGCAAGCGUUAAUCGGAAUUACUGGGCGUAAAGCGUGCGCAGGCGGUUAUGCAAGACAGAGGUGAAAUCCCCGGGCUCAACCUGGGAACUGCCUUUGUGACUGCAUGGCUAGAGUACGGUAGAGGGGGAUGGAAUUUCCUGUGUAGCGGUGAAAUGCGUAGAUAUAGGAAGGAACACCAGUGGCGAAGGCGACCACCUGGGCUAAUACUGACACUGAGGUGCGAAAGCGUGGGGAGCAAACA